UCCAGAAAAAGAGCCUUUUAUACUGCAAAUGCAAAUAGGGCAUGGUUGCUUGGAAAAAGACCAGUCAAUCUUCCAAUAACUAUACGUCGACAUAACCUUCUGCUGCUGGAUCUAUAAAGGUGACAUCAACAAAUUUGACCAAAUCUCUCAGAAAGAGAUAUAUCACUUAAAGGUGCAACUUUCUAGGGAUCAAUUUCGAGUCUUUUCGUUUAGUUGGGAGAGCCAAACAUUUUCUUAUUUCUUCUUUUAUAGGUGUUCAGAUCUUUGAGUUUCAGAAGCUGUAAAGGCAAAUCAUCAGUCCAGUAGAACCACACUGAGAGUCGGGUGAUGGAAAUAUCUGUCUCUCUUCCCAUGUGUAAACUACUUAACAAAGCAGAAAAA